AGAGUUUGAUCCUGGCUCASAUUGAACGCUGGCGGCAUGCCUAACACAUGCAAGUCGAACGGUAACAGGCCGUAUGGGAUCCCUUCGGGGUGACCUUGGCGCUGACGAGUGGCGGACGGGUGAGUAAUACUUAGGAAUCUGCCCAAUAGUGGGGGACAACUCGAGGAAACUCGAGCUAAUACCGCAUACGCCCUACGGGGGAAAGCGGGGGAUCUUCSGACCUCGCGCUAUUGGAUGAGCCUAAGUCGGAUUAGCUUGUUGGUAGGGUAAAGGCCUACCAAGGCGACGAUCCGUAGCUGGUCUGAGAGGACGAUCAGCCACACUGGGACUGAGACACGGCCCAGACUCCUACGGGAGGCAGCAGUGGGGAAUAUUGGACAAUGGGCGCAAGCCUGAUCCAGCAAUGCCGCGUGUGUGAAGAAGGCCUGCGGGUUGUAAAGCACUUUCAGUAGAGAAGAAAAGCUUACGG
rnacentral:rRNA from 1 species